GGCUCAGAUUGAACGCUGGSGGCAUGCCUUACACAUGCAAGUCGAACGGCAGCGCGGGGCAACCUGGCGGCGAGUGGCGAACGGGUGAGUAAUAUAUCGGAACGUGCCCUGGAGUGGGGGAUAACGCAGCGAAAGUUGCGCUAAUACCGCAUACGAUMUAAGGAUGAAAGCAGGGGACCSCAAGGCCUUGUGCUCCUGGAGCGGCCGAUAUCUGAUUAGCUAGUUGGUGGGGUAAAGGCCUACCAAGGCAUCGAUCAGUAGCUGGUCUGAGAGGACGACCAGCCACACUGGAACUGAGACACGGUCCAGACUCCUACGGGAGGCAGCAGUGGGGAAUUUUGGACAAUGGGCGCAAGCCUGAUCCAGCAAUGCCGCGUGAGUGAAGAAGGCCUUCGGGUUGUAAAGCUCUUUUGUCAGGGAAGAAACGGUGGGGGCU
rnacentral:rRNA from 1 species